AAGGAAUGUGACUGCCUUUGAUCAUGUGCUAUAUAAAUACUGAAUUUUCUUACUAGGGAACUACGAACAACGCUUAUUAUAACAGUCAAAAUAAAAGUGCUGCGGAUUCAAAACUUGAUGCAGUAAUAUAAAAGAUAAUUUGAACUGAAGACUAAAUUUAUAAAAAGAGACGAUUGGGUGAGAUGGUUUUCUUUUUUUAUGAUAAUCAUCUCAAUAAUUGUCACUACAUGAAAUUAGAUUUAAGAAUGUUUUUUGUUUUGGAAUAGUUGUUAAUAUUGAAUUACAUUAUCGAUUGACAUUGAUGCAUAGUCAGUGAUUGCCAUCCGGUGUUCCUGUCUUAAUUGGGAGCAUAGGAAAUGGAUAUUGUAGUUGUAAAAUUAAAUUGAUUGGUACUUAAUAGAAAU